GACGAACGCUGGCGGCGUGCUUAACACAUGCAAGUCGAACGGAAAGGCCCUGCUUUUGUGGGGUGCUCGAGUGGCGAACGGGUGAGUAACACGUGAGUAACCUGCCCUUGACUUUGGGAUAACUUCAGGAAACUGGGGCUAAUACCGGAUAGGAGCUCCUGCUGCAUGGUGGGGGUUGGAAAGUUUCGGCGGUUGGGGAUGGACUCGCGGCUUAUCAGCUUGUUGGUGGGGUAGUGGCUUACCAAGGCUUUGACGGGUAGCCGGCCUGAGAGGGUGACCGGCCACAUUGGGACUGAGAUACGGCCCAGACUCCUACGGGAGGCAGCCGUGGGGAAUAUUGCACAAUGGGCGGAAGCCUGAUGCAGCACCGCCGCGUGCGGGAUGACGGCCUUCGGGUUGUAAACCGCUUUCGCCUGUGACGAAGCGUGAGUGACGGUAAUGGGUAAAGAAGCACCGGCUAACUACGU
rnacentral:rRNA from 1 species